rnacentral:rRNA from 1 species
UACGGAGGGUGCAAGCGUUGUUCGGAAUUACUGGGCGUAAAGAGCGUGUAGGCGGUUGAUUAAGUCAGGCGUGAAAGUCCUUGGCUCAACCAAGGAAGUGCACCUGAAACUGGUCAACUUGAGUACGGGAGAGGAGAGUGGAAUUCCUGGUGUAGAGGUGAAAUUCGUAGAUAUCAGGAGGAACACCGGUGGCGAAGGCGACUCUCUGGACCGAUACUGACGCUGAGACGCGAAAGCGUGGGGAGCAAACAGG